CCAACACAAAGUUUGUACAUCAACUAGAAUCCUUUCCUAUCCAUUACACUCCAUUCAUUUGAGAGAGCAAAAAUGAUCCUGUGGCUAAACUUGGUCUCCUUACUAGCAGUCCUCAGAGGUGUCCGAUCUGAGGUCCUGUUGUUGGAGUCUGGAGGGGACGUGAGAAGCCCUGGAGGGUCCCUCCGUCUCACCUGCCAAGGUUCUGGAUUCACCUUCAGUAGUGCCUACCUGCACUGGGUGAGACAGGCUCCAGGGAAAGGCCUGGAAUGGGUGGCCUAUAUAAGUACAGACUCAUCUCCCAUUUACUACUCUGACAAAGUGAAGGGACGCUUCAUCAUCUCCAGAGACGAUGCCAAAAGCCAGAUUUAUCUGCAAAUGAACAGCCUCAAAGCUGAAGACACGGCAGUCUAUUACUGUACGAGAGACACAGUGAGAGGAAGUGAAUCUGAAGCAAAGCAAAAACUGCCCAUUUCCCAUAGCAGCUCUGAGAAUUUCUUUGAAACCUUAGAAUUCUAA